UACGGAGGAUGCGAGCGUUAUCCGGAUUUAUUGGGUUUAAAGGGUGCGUAGGCGGUCCGGAAAGUCAGCGGUAAAAGCCCGGGGCUUAACCCCGGCGAGCCGUUGAAACUGUCGGACUAGAGACGGCGAGAAGUACGCGGAAUGCGCGGUGUAGCGGUGAAAUGCAUAGAUAUCGCGCAGAACUCCGAUUGCGAAGGCAGCGUACCGGCGCCGGACUGACGCUGAGGCACGAAAGCGUGGGUAUCGAACAGG
rnacentral:rRNA from 1 species